UGUGUCUGAGUCAAUUACUCAGCUUGUUAGUCCUCCUGAAGCACCUGGUAAUGUUUUGACGGAUGGUGGGGAUGGACUUUCUGUUUCUCGUGAUGGUGAAGAAGUGCCCAUAAAUUUAGCAGAGCCGCAGAAAUGCCCCGAUGUCUAUUCAUCUGAUCUCCAUAUUGAUGAGAGGGUGAAGAACUUGGUGGACGGUGUUUCCCUUAUUCCAG
rnacentral:lncRNA from 1 species